rnacentral:rRNA from 1 species
UACGAAGGGGGCUAGCGUUGCUCGGAAUCACUGGGCGUAAAGGGUGCGUAGGCGGGUCUUUAAGUCAGGGGUGAAAUCCUGGAGCUCAACUCCAGAACUGCCUUUGAUACUGAGGAUCUUGAGUUCGGGAGAGGUGAGUGGAACUGCGAGUGUAGAGGUGAAAUUCGUAGAUAUUCGCAAGAACACCAGUGGCGAAGGCGGCUCACUGGCCCGAUACUGACGCUGAGGAGCGAAAGCGUGGGGAGCAAACAGGG